rnacentral:tRNA from 1 species
AAGAUUUUAAGUUAAUUAAACUCUUAACCUUCAAAGUUAAAAAUAUUUAUAUAUUUAAGUAAAUCUUA